CCUCAGCUUCAAGGUACAGAUUGGGUUCAGGUCUUCUCUGCAUGUCUCUCAUUCUGAGACCAGUGACUAUCUCUCAAGGUUUUUUUCCUUUCUUCUCAGUGGUAUGCACAUGGUCUCUCAAAUGAAUUGGUCAACACAAGAUGAAGAGUUUAAGGCAUAAUCAGGUAACUUGACAGAGGAACUUACAGUCAACAGUGAAAGCUUGGAGCCAGAGAGCUUGGAUUCUAAGACUGUGAGUUUCAGCUUCUUCAGCCACAAAAGGAUAUAAAAGAAGAACAACAGCAGUUAAAAAGACACUCUUUUAAAAAGCAACUGCCAUAAAAAUAGGAAGCAGACACAUGGCAUGGGAAGAAUUCAAAUGUUUGCUUAUUUCAUGAAAAAGUGAAUGCCUCAAAAAGUUGACUGCCUUCACCAAACUACUCUUGUUAUAUUUAUCAUAAAAAUGAAUCCUCUCCAAUUAAAAAGGUAAGGGAAACCCCAAGAUCUUAAUAGAUUGUAUUAAAUAGAACCACCUCAUGUAUAUGUAAGGAACUGAGUCUGAUCUUCAGAAAGAGAUGGUAGUAAUUUUGAUGAGGGCUGCCCUAAGGACACCUGUUGACUGGCUAGGUAUUAUCUCUCUUCUCUCCUCUCCAAUCCAAACUAAUUAAGGCUGUGGAAUCACCAGUAUGACAUCUUCAGCAACUGUAAAUGCAUCACCAUAUUACAGAUU